rnacentral:rRNA from 1 species
AUUGAACGCUGGCGGCAUGCUUUACACAUGCAAGUCGAACGGUAACAGGUUAAGCUGACGAGUGGCGAACGGGUGAGUAAUGCAUCGGAACGUGCCCGGUCGUGGGGGAUAACACUUCGAAAGAAGUGCUAAUACCGCAUACGAUCUGAGGAUGAAAGCGGGGGACCGUAAGGCCUCGCGCGAUCGGAGCGGCCGAUGUCAGAUUAGGUAGUUGGUGGGGUAAAGGCUCACCAAGCCAACGAUCUGUAGCUGGUCUGAGAGGACGACCAGCCACACUGGGACUGAGACACGGCCCAGACUCCUACGGGAGGCAGCAGUGGGGAAUUUUGGACAAUGGGCGCAAGCCUGAUCCAGCAAUGCCGCGUGCAGGAAGAAGGCCUUCGGGUUGUAAACUGCUUUUGUACGGAACGAAACGGUCCUGGUUAAUACCUGGGGCUAAUGACGGUACCGUAAGAAUAAGCACCGGCUAACUACGUGCCAGCAGCCGCCGUAAGAC